GAUGAACGCUGGCGGCGUGCCUAAUACAUGCAAGUCGAGCGAACAGACGAGGAGCUUGCUCCUCUGACGUUAGCGGCGGACGGGUGAGUAACACGUGGAUAACCUACCUAUAAGACUGGGAUAACUUCGGGAAACCGGAGCUAAUACCGGAUAAUAUAUUGAACCGCAUGGUUCAAUAGUGAAAGACGGUUUUGCUGUCACUUAUAGAUGGAUCCGCGCCGCAUUAGCUAGUUGGUAAGGUAACGGCUUACCAAGGCAACGAUGAGUAGCCGACCUGAGAGGGGGAUUAGGCACAAUGGAACUGAGACACGGUCGAGACUACUACGGGAGGCAGCAGUGGGGAAUAGGGGGCAAUGGGCGAAAGCAUGAUGGAGAAAUGCCGAGUGAGUGAUGAAGGUUUUCGGAUUGUAAAGCACUGUAAGUUGGGACGAAGAAAAGUGAGUGAAUACAUGGAUGUUUUGACGGUACAGAAAGAGUAAGCAACGGCUAACUACGUG
rnacentral:rRNA from 1 species